GACAAACGCUGGCGGCGUGCAUAACACAUGCAAGUUGAACGAGAUCUUUUCGAACAGAUCCUUCGGGUGACGUUUGGGAAGGGAAAGUAGCGGACGGGUGAGUAACGCGUGAGAAACCUGCCUUUCACAACGGGAUAGCAGCUGGAAACGGCUAUUAAUACCGUAUGAGACCCCACCAUCGCAUGAUGGAGAGGUUAAAGAUUUAUCGGUGAAAGAAUGGUCUCGCGUCUGAUUAGCUAGUUGGUAGGGUAACGGCCUACCAAGGCGACGAUCAGUAGCCGGCCUGAGAGGGUGUACGGCCACACUGGGACUGAGACACGGCCCCAG
rnacentral:rRNA from 1 species